UUUAAAAGCUCCACUUGGGCGUUUCUGGCUGGUAUUGCUCCGACAGAGAAGCGGCUUUACUGCCUUUCUGUACCAUUCUCGAGAGAGAGAGACAUGCUGAAGACAACAUUCAAAUAUCUAAAUGGGUUCAAGGCAAUUACAAACUCCCUCUGAACAAAUCUUGCAUCACCAUAAGUUGAAAUGAUGUGAAGGCACACAACAACAACAAGAACAACAACACAUUGUUGUAAAAUCAAUGUGUGCCCUGGGAUAUGACUACCAAAAUAAUGGUCUUGGAUUUAUUAUAGAUUUUCAUCUUUACAAUAUGUACUAAAUGCAUCCAAAUUAUUUUUAAGACCCAAGUGGAAAAGAAAAAAGAAUUCUAAAUCACCUGGCUGAAAGUCUUUCUGUUGCUGAUUACUGGAAGAAAGUCUGCUCCAGCUAAUUCACUAAAUCAAUUAACACAGAUAUUAAAAAAGGUGGGAACUAA